rnacentral:rRNA from 1 species
GUGCCAGCAGCCGCGGUAAUACGGAGGGUGCGAGCGUUACCCGGAUUUACUGGGUGUAAAGGGCGUGUAGGCGGUCUCUCAAGUCCGAUGCUAAAGACCGAAGCUCAACUUCGGGGGUGCGUUGGAUACUGUGAGGCUAGACGGUCGGAGAGGGUAGCGGAAUUUCCGGAGUAGCGGUGAAAUGCGCAGAUACCGGAAGGAACGCCAAUAGCGAAAGCAGCUACCUGGACGAUUGGUGACGCUGAGGCGCGAAAGSGUGGGGAGCAAACCGGAUUAGAUACCCGGGUAGUCC